GAUGAACGCUGGCGGCGUGCCUAAUACAUGCAAGUCGAGCGAACGGACGAGAAGCUUGCUUCUCUGAUGUUAGCGGCGGACGGGUGAGUAACACGUGGAUAACCUACCUAUAAGACUGGGAUAACUUCGGGAAACCGGAGCUAAUACCGGAUGAUAUUUUGAACCGCAUGGUUCAAAAGUGAAAGACGGUCUUGCUGUCACUUAUAGAUGGAUCCGCGCUGCAUUAGCUAGUUGGUAAGGUAACGGCUUACCAAGGCAACGAUGCAUAGCCGACCUGAGAGGGUGAUCGGCCACACUGGAACUGAGACACGGUCCAGACUCCUACGGGAGGCAGCAGUAGGGAAUCUUCCGCAAUGGGCGAAAGCCUGACGGGGCAACGCCGCGUGAGUGAUGAAGGUCUUCGGAUCGUAAAACUCUGUUAUUAGGGAAGAACAUAUGUGUAAGUAACUGUGCACAUCUUGACGGUACCUAAUCAGAAAGCCACGGCUAACUACGUG
rnacentral:rRNA from 1 species